GCCCUGGUGGUGGAAUUGGUAGUCACGUUGGAUCUAAACUCCAAUGGCCCGCACGGGCUGUGCGGGUUCGAAUCCCGCCCGGGGCACCA
rnacentral:tRNA from 1 species